rnacentral:rRNA from 1 species
AUGGAGCUUUAGACACCAAGGCAGCCCACGUUAAAACACCCCAAAUAAGGGACUAAACCAAGUGUGUCCUACCCUAAUGUCUUUGGUUGGGGCGACCGCGGGGAAUUAAAUAACCCCCACGUGGAGUGGGAUCACCCCUCCUACAGCUAAGAACUACAGUUCUAGUAAACAGAAUUUCUGACCAAUAAGAUCCGGCAAUGCCGAUCAACGGACCG